rnacentral:rRNA from 1 species
GACGUAGGGCGCGAGCGUUGUCCGGAUUUAUUGGGCGUAAAGAGCUCGUAGGCGGCUUGUCGCGUCGUUCGUGAAAACCCGGGGCUCAACUCCGGGCUUGCGGGCGAUACGGGCAGGCUAGAGUUCGGUAGGGGAGACUGGAAUUCCUGGUGUAGCGGUGAAAUGCGCAGAUAUCAGGAGGAACACCUGUGGCGAAAGCGGCUCACUGGACCAUAACUGACGCUGAUGCACGAAAGCUAGGGGAGCAAACAGG